GAUGAACGCUGGCGGCGUGCCUAAUACAUGCAAGUCGAGCGAACGGACGAGAAGCUUGCUUCUCUGAUGUUAGCGGCGGACGGGUGAGUAACACGUGGAUAACCUACCUAUAAGGCUGGGAUAACUUCGGGAAACCGGAGCUAAUACCGGAUAAUAUUUUGAACCUCAUGGUUCAAAAGUGAAAGACGGUCUUGCUGUCACUUAUAGCUGGAUCCGCGCUGCAUUAGCUAGUUGGUAAGGUAACGGCUUACCAAGGCAACGAUGCAUAGCCGACCUGAGAGGGUGGUCGGCGACACUGGAGCUGAGACACGGUCCAGACUCCUGCGAGAGGCAGCAGUAGGGAAUCUUCCGCAACGGUCGAAAGCCUGACGGAGCAACGGCGCGUGAGUGAUGAAGGUCUUCGGAUCGUGAAACCCUGUUAUUAGGGGAGAACCUAUGUGUAAGUAACUGUGCACAUCGUGACGGUACCUAAACAGAAAGCCACGGCUAACUACGUG
rnacentral:rRNA from 1 species